rnacentral:misc_RNA from 1 species
GUGCGAUUUGUGUAUGUGCCUUAGAUUUGCGUGCCUGUCAUAACAAACUGAUAUCAGAGCUUCGUGCGCAAAACCAAGGGUUUACAGAUGGCGCCAUCUUCAACGAAACAUAAGAUAGAGAAGUUUGAUGGUAGGUCGAGUUUCAGUCUGUAAAAGAUUAAAAUCAAAUUUUCCUUGAUCCUAAAAGGUCUAUGGAAGCCAAUUGAGGAUAACUUUUCAGAAGGUACGAAAGAGGCAGAGAAGGUUGAUCUCAAGGAGAGAGCCUUGAGAGCAAUUUUCAUGAGCGUAACUAAUAA